CUGUUGCUGUUCAUAUUGCUGCUGCUGUUCAUGUUGCUGCUGCUGUUGCAGGCAUGUGCUGCUAGAGAUGUCCUCGUUCUGUGUGUAAGUGUAUCCAGCUAGUUGCUGCUGUUGGGGCUGCUGCAGCUGCAACUGCUGCUGCUGCUGUUGCUGCUGCUGCAGCAAGUUCAUCAUAUAAAGCUGCAUUAUAAACUCCAUUUGAUU
rnacentral:sRNA from 1 species